rnacentral:rRNA from 1 species
UACAGAGGUCCCAAGCGUUGUUCGGAUUCAUUGGGCGUAAAGGGUGUGUAGGUGGCGCCGUAAGUCGGGUGUGAAAUUUCGGAGCUUAACUCCGAAACUGCAUUCGAUACUGCGGUGCUUGAGGACUGGAGAGGAGACUGGAAUUCAUGGUGUAGCAGUGAAAUGCGUAGAGAUCAUGAGGAAGACCAGUGGCGAAGGCGGGUCUCUGGACAGUUCCUGACACUGAGACACGAAGGCCAGGGGGAGCAAACGGGG